GAAAGUAAGGAGCACUAGGCUAUUCCUGUGCAACUUUGAGAGGCAGCAUGGUGCAGUGGAUAAGGUGCUGGUUAUGGAGUC
rnacentral:miRNA from 1 species